UAUCGUUUAUUUGAUAGUACCUUACUACAUGGAUACCUGUGGUAAUUCUAGAGCUAAUACAUGCUAAAAACCCCGACUUCAGGAAGGGGUGUAUUUAUUAGAUAAAAAACCAACGCCCUUCGGGGCUCCUUGGUGAAUCAUAAUAACUUAACGAAUCGCAUGGCCUUGCGCCGGCGAUGGUUCAUUCAAAUUUUUGCCCUAUCAACUUUCGAUGGUAGGAUAGUGGCCUACCAUGGUGGCAACGGGUAACGGGGAAUUAGGGUUCGAUUCCGGAGAGGGAGCCUGGGAAACGGCUACCACA
rnacentral:rRNA from 1 species